CAUUGCACAGUAAUUAUUCCGGAAAGUUCUCGAUGGUGUAACUAUUUUGCUAUCCCACUGAAAGUAGUAUUUUACAAAUGAUAACUAUCUGUUCAUUUCUUUUUAACGCUUGGAAUCUAUUCGCGGUCCAAUUAAAUCUUUCCCUCAUUUCCCUUCAUUUACAAAUAAAUUGGUUUCGGAUAUCAUAGUGGCUCCAUGAGAAAUAUGUUAUUAAAUAGGCAUAGAUACCUGGGAACUGGCAUAUUAAAAUGGAACUCGAAAAGGUGCUGUUUCAAAUGGUAUAUAUAACAUUCAGAACGCCGAAACCCCAAGUUUUUCCCCACAGACGCCACAAAGAUCAUUAGCCGAUGGCCGGCAACUAAUUGAUGAGCGUAAAAUGAAAUGCCAACUAAUUUUUAAUUAAAAUUUUGUAUAAUCCACCGCCAACUGAACUGCAGAGGACCCACCGCAACGGAUAAGAUCUAAUUGCCAUAAUUAAUUCUCAUAUAAUUUGGGCGGCGAAGGCGACUAC